AUGCAUACGUGAGUAUUAGAGGAGCAGUGAGUGUGGGGGGUUGGGGCACUUGUGAUUAGCCCUGAGUUGAUCCUUCGGGAGCAGAUGGUGAAUGGUGGCUUACCCAGAUGCCUUGAAUCCAAAGCGUUAACAUUAGUCCACACCAAAGAACCGGUGUAUCUGAGGAGGACGGAGAAACAAAGGCUCAUGACAGGAGACCGCAGGAAGACUGCUUGUGAUCCAAACAAGACGAGAUGUUGCUGAGGAGCGUUGUUGUUCUGCUGGUGCUCAGUGUGCAGCAUCUACACGGCUCUGCUCUUCCAGCUGUUUCCUCCUAUGAGUUCACCGCCUUCAGGAUGCAACAGUACAAUUUAGGACAACAGAAGCAUGGUUGCCGUGGCGCUAUAGUUGUUGCCGAGGCCCGUUCAGCAGAUGAACCUUCACUGACUCGCCGCUGUAUCAUCAUGAAGGUGGAAGACUUUUCUGCAGAAAAAUAUCUAGAAGCCCAGGGACAAAAUGCUGCCGCCGUGCUGAUCCUGCUGCCCAAAAAUAUCUCAAGCGUUCCUCACAGUACCGUACAGACUUUCAUGAUGAGUGAGAGUGUAGCUUUGCAGAAAGAGACCCUGAUUCCUGUGUAUGUCGCACCUGAAGACGAACAGCUGCUCUACAUGUAUGAAGAGGUCAAGCAGGCUGCAGCCGCCAGGACCUCAUCCAUAUUUGUUCGAGUCCUUCGAAGUAUAGUCACAGCUACAGCCUUUCAGAUUUUAGUGAGCAACAAUGCCCCCAUCAAAGCCAUCACUGACAAUGCUAUAGUCACGCUGGAGGGUGUUCUCCCUGGAGCAGGAGAAGAUGCGCCCACCAUUGUCAUCACUGCCUACUACGACUCUUACGGGCUGGCUCCAUGGUUGUCAUUUGGGGCAGACUCUAAUGGCAGCAGCGUUACCAUUUUGCUGGAGCUCGCACGGCUUUUUCAGAAACUUUACAGCAGCUCCAGUACCAGACCGCAAUACAAUUUGAUGUUUUCCUUGACCGGAGGAGGAAAAUACAACUUCCUUGGCACCAAGAGAUGGAUUGAAGAGAACCUAGAUCAUGCCGAGUCAAGCCUGCUUCAUGACAAUGUGGCGUUCGUUGUGUGUUUGGAUACCCUGGGUAAGAGUGAUGAGCUCUUUGUGCAUGUGUCCCGUCCUCCAAAGCCUGACACUCCUGUGCACUCUUUCAUUCAACAGCUGGAGGAGGUGGUUUCUUCUAGAUUUUCCUGGGUGAAGGUGGGAUUGGUUCACAAGAAGAUAAAUCUUGUUGAGUCCACAAUUGCCUGGGAGCAUGAGCGCUAUAGCCUCCGAAGGAUCCCGGGCUUUACCCUGUCUCACCUGGAAGAUCCCAAAUCUGCGCUCCGAGGCUCUAUACUUGACACAAUGUCACAGGUGGAUUUCAGGAAACUCAAGCGAAACGGCCUCAUCAUUGCAGAAACACUGGCGCGGUUUAUGUACAAUCUCACCGACAAGGGUUCACCAAAGGAUGUGCAGGUUUUUAAAGGCCAGCUGGACUUCCAGGACAGCCGUUUGUCCAGUUUGAUGUCCUUCCUGACGUCGGUCCCUCGGGCCACCCAGCUGCUGGACAAGGAGCAAAGUCAAAUUUUGAUGGUGAACUCGCUGGAGCACGAGUUCAAACGUUACCUACAGCAGGUCCACAGACACACUUUUCGACAGGACAGAAGGUGAACACGAAGACCAAAAUGCUCCUAAAAACUGACAGAAAACAGAAUGAGGAUGACUGGGAUUUUUUCAUGCAGGGACCCUGAUGUCAGCUUCUUUGAUCAAAUGAACCAACCGAUUGUGAUGUACAGGUAAUUAUUGGAGCUUCUAUAUUUCUGUGCCAGUGGAGAAUUCCCAGAGUCUCCAGGAUUUUUCUUUCAGGGUGAAGCCGGCAGCUUUUGAUCUGUUCCUGGGUGGAUGCAUCACAGCGUAUUUGGGGAUUGUUUACUAUUCAAUCCAGAAUUUUGGUUAUCUCUACAUCAAAUUGAAAGCUUCAGUGAAAUCCAAGCACCAGUAAAAGCUUAAAUCCAUGGAGACAAGGACAAAAUCUUUAAAGACGGAUCUGCAGCACAUAAAAGCAAACCACCAAGAACUGUAAACCGUUCAGAAAAAGUAACAGUAAAUGAAUGCCCAUCUCGGGAAGCAAGCUUUCUCUUUGAAUUACAUAUGACUGUACCAAUGUUUGUACUUCUCAUUUAAUACAACCAGGCUUGAAACUUCGUUUGUCUAAUUUAAAAAAAAAAGAAAUAAAGAAUUUGUGACUGAAACUUUUACAUAAAAAUGAACUUGGAUCUGAUUUGAGAUGUUUCCAUGACACCAUGACCACAUGACCUGUCUUUGUCUGAUUUAUACAGCUUUCCAACCACUGCAGUGGAUGAACAGCCACUCACUGUCACAGAUAACUCAGUGGGAGCGCUGUAGACACAAUGGCACCCUACAGUGCUGGGUGAAUUAUUAAUGCUCACGGGGCAUGCUGACACUCAACACAGAAAGGUGCUGACGUUGGAUUUUAAAGUGUAUCUUUUCUUCUCUGGGAUGUCCCACCCGCUAUGACUCUUUCAAGUGAGCCAACGGCACUUCAGUGUUUUAGAUGAGGGCAGCCUUUUGUCAGAGGCCCCUUGCAGAAGGGGAAGGUCAAGGAUUCUAAUCUGGUAUGUGCGUCUCUGCAGGGGGCUAGGAGCCAGGGGGAUUAGUGGCUGGGUGCUCAGGUGGCACACCGAGUUGUUCUGCUUCAGCAGGGAUGCUUCAGCCUGCCCCAACACACCACAUUCAUCACCACUACCACAACAGCAACAGCUCAAACAGAAAGCUUAUUUCAUGCAGUAACUCCAGUAACCUUUUUUGUUUAUAGCUGUUCAUAAAAAGAAUGUAAAAUGCUUUUAAAAUAAAUGGAAAAAAUUGUUUUUUAUCAACUAAAAUAAAAAUAUUCAAGAGAUUUGGUGGAAAAAGGAGGUCAAAACAGGAGGAACACAGAUGGAGAUUAGGGGGGUGGAGCUUACAGGUGACAGGGAGGUGAAGGAUGCUGUGUGGCGGAUUCGAGGCGAGCUGUGGACAAACGGUUGGACGGUCGGUGAUGAUGGCUCCGGAGCUUUACGUCUCUAUCUACAGAGAACAGUUCCGCCCUCCUGGCAGGGUGAAGAGAGCAGAGCUUCGACCCACCUCGGCCCACCGCAGGAACAAUCCCCAGCCCAGGCCGGACUUCUUGUUUCCUCACCCUCUCCAGUCAAACUACAGGCAGGCCCGUUCACUGGUACACCCACUGACCUCUGCAGACCCCAGCCGGCCCCUCUUCCCUCCUGUGACACAUUCAUCAUUGCUUAACCGUACCGAUGAAACCCUGUCAAACCCAGAGAAUGCAGGCAAACUCCAAAGCCUGCCCUCAGUCAAUGAAAAUCGUGCACAAGAUGCGCCCUCUAGUGGGAGAUUGCGGACUCGACACCCCAAGGAGCCUCCGGCUGAAAUCCAGUUUAAAUCGAUUUUGAGGACAAAUGAUAAUCUGAGGAAUUCAGCACUGGAGCUCAGGCAAGCAAACAACCUUUGAACUUUUCUCGAGGCCUCACAGCUGAGAAACCACGUGGGCUUCUGCAAGUCUUAUCAAAAAUAAAUGUAUUGAUUUCCACAGGCAAAAAGCAGGAUCUCAGAUUCAGACAAGGCCCCAAACCAGCUACCUUCCUGCAGCCUCUCGCUGUUUUCAACGAGCGCAACGCAAGUGUUGCUCUAACGGCACCUUGGAUUACAGUGGUUGCAACAGCUGCUUCCAUGUUGUGAGGCCGUACCAAGUUGGAUACUACAGCAUCCACCCAGAGUUUGUGUCCGAAAGCCUUUAUUAGAGCCACUAGAGCGGCAUUCCCAUCAGAAUGAGAGACUGAUGAGCUUUUACUGCGCUGAUUGUGGAGCUACUGUGUUAGGAGCCUCAAUGCUAAUGUCAAAAACUUUUUUAGUUGUUAAUCUGCAAAAACUUUCAUUUAGUUUUAACUAAAUAAUCAAGAAGAAAAGCCUUGGUGUGCUGAGUCUGAGUUUUAAACUACUAGUACUACAGUACAAUACAACUUCUUUGAAAAUGAGAGAUAACUCCUCUUCAUUUUCUUCUUCUUUGGAUGAGCAAGACUGUUUGAAAACUACAACUAUGAGCUAUGUCUGGAGUGAUAAUUACUCCAUAUAAAUUCCCAUCAUGAAAACAUUGUGUGCUUUAACCCUUGUGCUAUCCUAGCACUUUAACAUUGGGAGUUGGGUCAUCUAGACCCCACAGGACACUGGGCUGAACCUUUUUUCUUCAAUGAUUU